rnacentral:rRNA from 1 species
UACGUAGGGUGCGAGCGUUAAUCGGAAUUACUGGGCGUAAAGCGUGCGCAGGCGGCGCGUUAAGACAGGUGUGAAAGCCCGAGCUUAACUUGGGAAUUGCGCUUGUGACUGGCGUGCUGGAGUGUGGCAGAGGGAGGUGGAAUUCCACGUGUAGCAGUGAAAUGCGUAGAGAUGUGGAGGAACACCGAUGGCGAAGGCAGCCUCCUGGGCCAGCACUGACGCUCAUGCACGAAAGCGUGGGGAGCAAACAGG